rnacentral:snRNA from 1 species
AGCUUUGUGCAGUGGCAGUAUUGUGGCCAAUGAGGUUUAUCUGAGGCAUGAUUGUUGCUAAUUGAACACUAUCAAUAGAAACAUACUUAAUAAGGUCAGAAACAAAUAAUAGGAUUACCUA